CGGUUCGCCCGCUCCGCACGGAUGAAAAGGGAAUCGGGUGCAAGUCCCGAACAGUUCCCGCUGCUGUAAAUUCCGGCAUCCCGCCCCCCCCGGGACGGAUGCACACCGCGACACGCUUCGGCCACUGGUUUCGAUCGGGAAGGCGUCGCGGAAGGGAUGAGUCAGAAGACCUGCUUUCGGC
rnacentral:ncRNA from 1 species